rnacentral:misc_RNA from 1 species
UUUCCGUAGGUGAACCUGCGGAAGGAUCAUUCAUAAUAAAGUGUUUUAUGGCACUUUUUAAAAAUCCAUAUCCACCUUGUGUGCAAUGUUAGAUCUCGUCAAUCUUAGCGAGAUUUUUAUACAUCAACUCAUUCUUUAACUAAUUUGUCUGAAAAAUAUUAUGAAUACUUAAUUCAAAAUACAACUUUCAACAACGGAUCUCUUGGCUCUCGCAUCGAUGAAGAAGCAGC